AUUGAACGCUGGCGGAAUGCUUUACACAUGCAAGUCGAGCGGCAGCGCGGGGCAACCUGGCGGCGAGCGGCGAACGGGUGAGUAAUACAUCGGAACGUACCCAGUCGUGGGGGAUAACACAGCGAAAGUUGUGCUAAUACCGCAUACGACCUGAGGGUGAAAGUGGGGGACCGCAAGGCCUCACGCGAUUGGAGCGGCCGAUGGCGGAUUAGCUAGUUGGUGAGGUAAAGGCUCACCAAGGCGACGAUCCGUAGCGGGUCUGAGAGGACGGCCCGCCACACUGGAACUGGGACACGGUCCAGACUCCUACGGGAGGCAGCAGUGGGGAAUUUUGGACAAUGGGCGAAAGCCUGAUCCAGCCAUUCCGCGUGAGUGAAGAAGGCCUUCGGGUUGUAAAGCUCUUUCGGCAGGAACGAAACGGUGGGGGCUAAUAUCCCCUGCUAAUGACGGUACCUGAAGAAGAAGCACCGGCUAACUACGUGCCAGCAGCCGCCGCCG
rnacentral:rRNA from 1 species